rnacentral:rRNA from 1 species
UACAGAGGUCUCAAGCGUUGUUCGGAUUUAUUGGGCGUAAAGGGUCCGCAGGCGGUUUGAUAAGUCAGGUGUGAAAUCCCACAGCUUAACUGUGGACACGCAUUUGAUACUGUUAGACUAGAGUAUGAGAGGGGUGAGAGGAAUUUCCAGUGUAGGGGUGAAAUCCGUAGAUAUUGGAAAGAACACCGGCCGCGAAGGCGUUUCACUGGCUCAUUACUGACGCUCAGGGACGAAAGCCAGGGGAGCAAACGGG